rnacentral:sRNA from 1 species
GCCAGGUAUGAUAGCCUAUGCCAGUAAUCCCAGCUUCUUGGGAGGCGGAGGCAGAAGGAUCACAAGUUUGAGGUCUGCCACAGUGACUUAGUGAGACUCUGUCUCAA